GGAAUCUUCCACAAUGGACGCAAGUCUGAUGGAGCAACGCCGCGUGAGUGAAGAAGGUUUUCGGAUCGUAAAGCUCUGUUGUUGGUGAAGAAGGAUAGAGGCAGUAACUGGUCUUUAUUUGACGGUAAUCAACCAGAAAGUCACGGCUAACUACGUGCAAG
rnacentral:rRNA from 1 species